ACAUCACCCCCCCCCGGCCGCCCGCCCCCGCGCUUAUCUCAUCCCCGCGCCCCCCUUCCUCCCGCCGCUCGCCGGGCCGCCCCCUCCUCCUCCUCCUCCUCUUCCUCCUCCUCCUCCCCCCGUUCUCCCGGUGGCGGGCGAGGAGGGAAGCGCGGCGCGAGGGGAGGAAGGGAGGGGAAAGGGGCCGAGCCGCUCCCGCGCUGCGCCACAACCCGCCGCCGCCUCCUCCUCCUCCUUCUCCGCCGCCGCCGCGCCCGGAGCCCCGUGAGCGCGCCCGGCCCGCCCCGCGCCGGGUCCCGAGCGAGGGGCGGGAGCGGCAGCGCCCGCGGAGCGCGGGAUGGAACUCCAGCGCCUCACUGGGCAGCUCGUUCCGAUGUCCAGUCACCCCUUCGGGGAAGAAAUUCUUCCAAAUGUCCAAUCUAAACCUUCUCUGAACCCGCUUCCUCUGAUCCUGUCACUUUUUACCGGGGAGAAGACACCGACCCCCACCUGGCUACAACCUCCUCUCAGGGAGCUGUAGAGAGCAACAAGGUCUCCCCUGAGCCUCCUCUUCUCCAGGCUGAGCCCCCCCAGCUCCCUCAGCAGCUCCUGGUGCUCCAGACCCGUCCCCAGCUCCGUUGCCCUUCUCUGGACCCAAAUGUUAAUAUUUUUGUUAAUAAAUAUUAACAAAUGUUCACGUUUAUUUGAUGUUAAUAAAUGUUAACAUGUUUAUACUGUACCCGUCGGGACCAGGUAUAAAUCAUCUGCUUAGGAGAUGUGGGGAGUGAGGUGUUUUUUUACAGGUGGCCAUUUAGUGUGUUUUUCAGAGGCAAGCGUGUAGCUCAAAUCACAGAAUGGGUCAGGUUAGAAGGGACACAGAGGGUCACUUGGACCAACCUCACUCCUCAAGCAGCGUCAUCCUGGAGUACACGACACAGGACUGUGUCCAGAUGGUUCUGGAAUGUCUCCGGUAAGGGAGACUCCACAACCUCUCUGGACAGCCUGUUCCAGUGCGCGGUCACAGCACAGUAAAGAAGUUCUUCCUCAUGUUCUGGUGGAAUUUCCUGUGCAUCAGUGUCUGCCUAUUGCUUCUUGUCCUACUGCUGGGCACCACCAAGCAGGGCCUGGUCCAUUCUCUGACACAUUCCUUGCAGAUACUGAUAGAUAUUGAUGAUGUCUCCUCUCAGCCAUCUCUUCUCAAGGCUGAACAGGCCCAGCUCCCUCAGCCUUUCCUUGUACAAAAGAUACUCCAGUCCCUUAAUUUUGUAGCCUCCACUGAACUCGUUCCAGGAAUUCCAUGUCUCUCUGAUACAGAGAAGGUACAGGCUUGGCUGCUUCUCCCGGAGCAAGUACUCUCUGUCUUUUUCCUAAAAGGCAUGUCUGGCUCUCCAGGAAUUCCCAGCGCUGCUGUUUGCUGGUCCACGAGGAGAUAAACUGUGGUGUGCCUGCCUUGCUCCCACCCUCCUCAGUACCUGCCAUAACCCAGAGCCCACUCCAAAUAAUGGCUCUUUUGUGGGCCUGUCAUAGUGUAAAACCAAGAGAAAACCUUUGAGAAAACAUGGUGGCAUGUUUAACAUAAAUAAGGAAUUGCAACCUCCUUUCGCUCCUAGAAAAAAUGGAUUCUAAUGCAUAUACAAACCUCUAUUGCAACCUUGCUACGAAAAGGACAAAUGUAAUUUUAAAUUUAAUUACCUAAAUGGGGAAAAUCCUUCAGUUACUGGCAUAGACCCAGGCAACAUGAAUUUUAGUAAUGUUGGUUACGACUAUCUUCUUUUUGCCCUAAAAAAGGGAAAGCUACUGCCCAUGUGCAUUUAAAAAAACCCUCAUAAAUGUAUGUCAGAACAGUUUUACCUAACAGUAACAAACCCAUGGCAUUGACUCUCCAUCCCUGGAAGUGUUCAAGGCCAGGUUGGAUGGGGCUUGGAGGAGCCUUGUCUAGUGGAAGAUGUCCAUGCCCAUAGCAGGGAAGUUGGAACUAGCUGGUCUUUAAGGUCCCUUCCAACCCAGGCCAUUCUGGGAUUCUGUGAUUCAUUUCAGCUGCCAAAUGGGGUUGCAGAAAUGACCACUUUGUUUAAUCCCAGCAAUUUAAGCAGCUGUUCUUGUUGCAGUGCUUUACCGUGAAGGAAGACUACAGGCCCAGCCUUGAGGAAUUUCUGCUCAGCAGCAGUGCCACAGCCAGUUCCUGGGGAAAAUGACUUAAAUCUCUGGGGCCUUCUUACAUUCCCACAGUUAACACAUUUAAACAUUUUGCUGCGAGUCUUCAAAUUGAUGUGGGUUUUUUUUCAGUGUAGAAAAAGUGAUUCAAAAUCUACCUGCGCUUUCUCUCUCCAAAACUAACACUCCCUAAACUUCAGUACAGGCAGAGAUACCAGUAUUGCAGGUUUCUGGGACUUGUAUUUUAGGUUUGCCUGUUCUACUCCUAUGACAAACACUUGCACAGGGAGCGAGUGCGAUGCCACUGCUUGCAUUGCAUCCAGUUGUACAAGUUUCAACCUGCUGUUUGGCUUUGGCUCCUCCAGACAAGAGUCUUGCUGCUCCAAACCGUCCCUUGCAGGUUGGAUCGGGCACAGAUGAACAGGAGUUGGUACAUGUUGGCUGAUGGAAUUAGCCCUGCUACCUGUGAAGGCUGGGAGCUCCUGCUCCUGAGUUAUUAUGCAGCUUUAUCACAGCACUGCUUAUGUUGUAAUCCAGCAAGUGCUUGAUCUUUUACCCGCCCAGGCACUGCAGGCAUCUUUAAUUAUCCGAGGGUUAAUUUGCAUGGGAGCUUUUGCUGAAACAAUAAAUUCAUACCUCUGUUAUUAUUUGGUAUGAGUUUCUGUAUCAAUAUUUAUAUUUGGGGAAAACCAAAGGAGCUUCCUGCUAGCACUAAGACAAAGGAAUUGCUUCAGAGCAAGUUCAGGAGUCAUCCAGCACUAAGAACAUCUUCCAGUUCUUCUCAGGGGAAGAACAAUUAUAACAUGUGGUGGGAGAACAUGUGCUCCAGUGCCUCUUUUCUAUGCAGGGAUGAGGAGAUAGAAAUGUCUUGUCUGAUGAAAAGCACGUUUUGCAAGGCUUGACAAAUGUGAUGUUCACCUUGAGCCAAUGUGGAACACUGUGAAGUGUGUACAGUAUCUUCUAUCUGUGUUUCUUUGUAUGCUACAUGAACUAAAUCCCGAAUAAUCCUGUGGAACAAGGAAUGGUUUCAUCUCCCUGUCACAGAUCCGAGGUGGAGGCACAGACAAAACAAUACUUUGCAGGGAAUUACAGUACCAUCUUAGGAGAAGAUCCAGGUUUUCAUCAUGACUCCUGACAUUUGUCCUUGCCAGUAAAACAUAUCCCCCUUUCAAUGCCACAGGAUGUUUUAUAAUAGGGGGAAAAAAAUGUUUUAGCAGAACUGUUCUACAUUAAAAGGAAGCAUUUAUUUUCAUUGGUAUCAGCUCAGUGAAGGCUUGACCCUGGGAUCACAAUGGGAGUUUUAUCCUUGACUUUAAUGGAAGAAUAAUCAAGGUCUCGUGAUAUUACAUCCUAAAGAAAGGCAAAUACUGCAGUUUGUAUCAAUAAGAUAAAUGUCUCACAUUUAGUGUAAGCCGCUAUAUUCUUGCAAUAAAUGGUUUAUUAGAUUGA